GCGAAGGAAGCUCCUGCCUCUCCUAAAGCCCAAGCCAAACCGAAGGCUUUAAAGGCCAAGAAAGCAGUGUUGAAAGCCGUCCACAGCCACACAGAAGAGAAGAUCCGCAGGUCACCCACCUUCAGGCGGCCCAAGACAGCGCGACUCCGGAGGGAGCCCAAAUAUCCUCAGAAGAGCGCCCCCUGGAGAAACAAGCUUGGCCACUCUGCGAUCAUCACGUUUCCGCCGACCACUGAGUCCGCCAUGAAGAAGACAGACGACAACAACACACUUGCCUUCAUUAUAGAUGUUAAAGCCAAGGAGCACCAGAUCAAACAGGCUGUGAAGAAGCUCUGAUUCGGCCUGACGGAGAGAAGAAGUCACAUGUUCAACCGACUCCUGGUUACAAUGCUUUGGAUGUUGCCAACAAAAUUGGGAUCAUCUA
rnacentral:lncRNA from 1 species